rnacentral:tRNA from 1 species
GGUUAGUUAGUUAAAGUUUAUAAUGUGAGUUUUGUAAGCUCAAGUUGAUUAGUGAUCAUUGACCU